CACCAGUUAAGCGUGAAACAAAUGUCAUUGGAUCGAUAGCCAAGGUCACAUUUUAGGAUUACAUGUUUGAAAACUGAAACAAGAUACAUACAAUGAAAAGCUUAAAGAGUUUAACUAAAUUAGAUCUUGCCACGCGGCCCAGGCUUGGGUGGGAGUUGCGGACCUUUCUUGAUCGGUAGAAGGUCAUCGGAAGCAGUGGCACUGAGGUAAAGACCGAGGGAACCGCCUCCCAAGAUCAGGAACUUGAGCAACAAUCCUCUCUUGGUAAAUGGAGCUGCAAAUGUCUCAAAGAACUUGCUCUGCAAUUCCAAACAUUUGACCAUACUUCUGUUAGUUAAUGCAAAUAAUUCGUUUCUUGAGUUCCACAAUCAAUAAAACCAAACAGCAUCAGACUUCAUUCAGUUAUCAAUCAACUAAAGCAAGAAAGCCACCAAAUAUUACAGUAUGGCCUGUAUAAAAAUACUCUGCAAAUCUUUUCUCAGAUACCAAAUUCAUCAAAACAGAGAAUAAGGGUAAAACCUGGAGUGGGUUGUACGGUGAAGGUGCAUCGGAUCCAUACAAGUCCCAUUGCCCAGUUGUGUUGCCAAUAUCCUCCAAAUCAAAGUAUAUACUCUUAUCACCAUACUUUGCUACCACAGCACCAGCCCUAUCAAAGAAGGGGGUACACUUUUUUUUUUAUUUUAAAAAUAA
rnacentral:lncRNA from 1 species